CCUACGGGAGGCUGCAGUCGAGAAUCAUUCACAAUGGGGGAAACCCUGAUGGUGCGACGCCGCGUGGGGGAAUGAAGGUCUUCGGAUUGUAAACCCCUGUCAUGUGGGAGCAAAUUAAAAAGAUAGUACCACAAGAGGAAGAGACGGCUAACUCUGUGCCAGCAGCCGCGGUAAUACAGAGGUCUCAAGCGUUGUUCGGAAUCACUGGGCGUAAAGCGUGCGUAGGCUGUUUCGUAAGUCGUGUGUGAAAGGCGCGGGCUCAACCCGCGGACGGCACAUGAUACUGCGAGACGAGAGGAAUGGAGGGGGAACCGGAAUUCUCGGUGUAGCAGUGAAAUGCGUAGAUAUCGAGAGGAACACUCGUGGCGAAGGCGGGUUCCUGGACAUUAACUGACGCUGAGGCACGAAGGCCAGGGGAGCGAAAGGGAUUAGAUACCCUAGUAGUC
rnacentral:rRNA from 1 species